AACUAGUCUUAACCAAGCAAAAAGACCUAAAGUUUGACCCCCCGAAACUAAGUGAGCUACUUCAAGGCAGCUUUAUGAGCCAACCCGUCUCUGUUGCAAAAGAGUGGGAAGACCUUCAAGUAGGGGUGACAGACCUACCGAACUUAGUGAUAGCUGGUUGCUCGAGAAAAGGAUUUUAGUCCAACCUAAAAUUACUUAAAUACAUAUUUAUGCACACUUAAUUUUAGAGCAAUUCAAGUAAGGUACAGCCUGCUUGAAACAGGAUACAACCUAAAAAUGUGGGUAAACCCGAUCCAUAAGGCAAUAAAGUGGGCCUAAAAGCAGCCACCUUAAAUAAUAGCGUCAUAGCUUAGUUGCAAAAAGAUCUAAUUACACAAACUCCUCUGAACCCCAUCUUUGUACCGAGCAAUUCUAUAAUCUUAUAGAACCUUUUAUGUUAAAACUAGUAACAAGAAGAACCCCCUUCUCUUUUAUGCAAGCUUAAGUCAGCAAGGACCAACCACUGACAAUUAAC
rnacentral:rRNA from 1 species